AUUGAACGCUGGCGGCAGGCCUAACACAUGCAAGUCGAACGGUAACAGGAAACAGCUUGCUGUUUCGCUGACGAGUGGCGGACGGGUGAGUAAUGUCUGGGAAACUGCCUGAUGGAGGGGGAUAACUACUGGAAACGGUAGCUAAUACCGCAUAACGUCGCAAGACCAAAGAGGGGGACCCUCGGGCCUCUUGCCAUCGGAUGUGCCCAGAUGGGAUUAGCUUGUUGGUGGGGUAACGGCUCACCAAGGCGACGAUCCCUAGCUGGUCUGAGAGGAUGACCAGCCACACUGGAACUGAGACACGGUCCAGACUCCUACGGGAGGCAGCAGUGGGGAAUAUUGCACAAUGGGCGCAAGCCUGAUGCAGCCAUGCCGCGUGUAUGAAGAAGGCCUUCGGGUUGUAAAGUACUUUCAGCGGGGAGGAAGGGAGUAAAGUUAAUACCUUGGCUCAUUGACGUUACCCGCAGAAGAAGCACCGGCUAACCCCGUG
rnacentral:rRNA from 1 species